UAACCACUGAGUACAUCAAAGAAUUUCAUGUAAUCGGUGCACUGAUUUCUGUUUCUGAUUUCAAAGCAAGUGUUUUAUAAAAGCAACCUUUUGGGAGUGAAGCAUUUUAAGGACAAUGACAUUUUGCCUUGCUUUUUUUUUUUUUUUUUUUGUAAAAUCGUAUCUCCAUAGUCAACAGACCUGGGAUGCUAGCUGAUAAUCUUGGAUUUCAUUGAAGACCAGAGGAAGCAGAAUCAAGUUGAAUUCCUCAUUUCCUGUAUAACUCUGCAGAGAUCUCCUGUCUAGCCCUCUGACAGCUUCUGGAUCUAAUUAAAUCCAAUAAACAUAUGGUAUGCCAUCUAGCCAACCAGAAAUCCUGCUUCCUGAGGGUGCGGACCUGGUCCUACACCUCUAGCAGCGAGCCUCAGGAGUGCUUCACACAGGCAUGCGCACACACACUUUUUGUUUAAUCUGUUUACCCUGUCUUUUCAGGUCACUCUCCUUUGUGUUACAUUAUUCUCCAUCUCUCUGAUCCUUCCCACUUCCCUAACUGCUCAGAACUUAGAGCUGCAUCCCAAUAGAGCCCCCAAAUGUAUGCAUCCUGUUACUUACAUUCCUCCCGCUCUAAGCAUUUGAUUAUCAGCUCCUUCAAGGUGGAAGCUAUAUCCCCUGCCGUCUUCAUUAAUCCCUACAGCUCUUUCUCUGCUAUACCAGAGUUUCCAUAUGGUACAUUUCCUGUGUAGUACACUUCUCUGCUAUAGCAAACUUUCCACAGUUUCUGGUUUCUUUUGUGGGGAGUGGAGGGUCAUGCAGCUUUUCUACCUCUCAUCUUCCAUCUGGUCCUCCCUGGGGUGAGAGUGCUUCUUGUUCCACAAUCCUUGGCCCACCUACCAAAGAGAGGGAGAAACCCAGGACUUAUGUUCACUCAAGGAGGAAAGUGACAUUUAGGUAAAAUUGAAUAGUAUUUUGUCAGGUGCCUAAAGUUGAUGUUUGGGGUGAAAAGUAUGGGAAUACUUCAUCUUUACAUUUGGCCUUGUUAUAUACGAUACUAAUUAUUCAGGCCAUUCAAAGCUCAGUUCAAUGGAUAUUUUUCAGGUGCACCAAUUAGGAGUAGAAAUAGGAGCCUGGGGCACUUCCCAUGACAUUCAAUAUUCAGCAUUCAACACCCAGCAUAGCAAGACGGGCCCGUCACUCACUGAAGGUGUUUGGCUCCUGUUAUAGCCCUAAAAGUGAGUGGAAUGCUUGGAAACUUUAGAAAAUGGGUCCAUACUCUAGAUAACUUUCUCCCAUGCCAAAUAAAACAAUAUUAAGUGUUUAAAAAUGUUAUUGAUAAUAUACUUUUUCUAACAAAAAUAUGUGUUCUAGAAAAAUGGAAAAAACAAAUAUGUAAUUAUCUUACAAAAAUAGGAUCAUGGUGUGUACAUUGUUUUGUGAUUUUGUUUUGGUUUUUUGACUUUUGUUUGUACUUUUUAAUUUAUGUCAUUAAAUAUUUUUCUAUGCUAGGAUAUUCCAAAGUGAGUCUGUUAUAGAAGUUAUUAAUAACUAUUACAUAUUAAGAAAAGAAGAGAGUUUCAUGAUGAGAUAAAUGUUGGCAAUGCUGGAUUCAAUAGGAUUUUGUUGCUAUAGGACUUUUUAGAGCUUUAAAUGAACUAAUGUAUGUUGUGAUUCUUAAAAAUAAGGAUAUAUUAUAGAAAUUCUCUCAAUUGUUUUACCAAGUACAUUAUUUAUGUAAUUUCUGUAGAACAAGUGUUCUUGACCACACUUUGAGAAUAGAAGCAGAAGUAGGUCAUAGACCUGCUAUGACUAAUCUUAGGAUGUAACCUGGAAAAUUUAUUAAAACAUGUUAUUAAAAAGUCCUGCUUUGAAAAUCAAAACCACAAUGAGGUAUCACCUUACACUGAUCAGAAUGGCCAUAUCAAAAAGUUUACAAAUAACAAAUGCUG